CCCCUCGUGUGUCUCCAGAGAGUGCAAGAAAUUACUGAAGGGUUUACUUGUGGUAAAUCCACUUGGAAGAAGCUCUCUCCAGAAAAUUAUGCACAAUAAGUGGGUAAACGUGGGACACACGGAGACACUGGCACCGUACGUCGAAAAGAAAAUCGACACCCACAAUGAGAAACGCAUUGAAAUUCUACUGAGGAUGGGCUACGAAGAACAGGACAUCGAGGAGUCUCUGAAGAAACAACUACCUGAUGAAAUAAGUGCCACCUAUAAAUUAUUAGAGGAAAGACCU